AUUGAACGCUGGCGGCAUGCCUUACACAUGCAAGUCGAACGGCAGCACGGGUGCUUGCACCUGGUGGCGAGUGGCGAACGGGUGAGUAAUACAUCGGAACAUGUCCUGUAGUGGGGGAUAGCCCGGCGAAAGCCGGAUUAAUACCGCAUACGAUCUACGGAUGAAAGCGGGGGACCUUCGGGCCUCGCGCUAUAGGGUUGGCCGAUGGCUGAUUAGCUAGUUGGUGGGGUAAAGGCCUACCAAGGCGACGAUCAGUAGCUGGUCUGAGAGGACGACCAGCCACCCUGGGACUGAGACACGGCCCAGACUCCUACGGGAGGCAGCAGUGGGGAAUUUUGGACAAUGGGCGAAAGCCUGAUCCAGCAAUGCCGCGUGUGUGAAGAAGGCCUUCGGGUUGUAAAGCACUUUUGUCCGGAAAGAAAUCCUUGGCCCUAAUACGGUCGGGGGAUGACGGUACCGGAAGAAUAAGCACCGGCUAACUACGUG
rnacentral:rRNA from 1 species